rnacentral:rRNA from 1 species
GACGAACGCUGGCGGCGUGCUUAACACAUGCAAGUCGAACGGAAAGGCCCUGCUUGCAGGGUCCUCGAGUGGCGAACGGGUGAGUAACACGUGGGUGAUCUGCCCUGCACUUCGGGAUAAGCCUGGGAAACUGGGUCUAAUACCGGAUAGGAGCCAUUUUUAGUGUGAUGGUUGGAAAGUUUUUUCGGUGUAGGAUGAGCUCGCGGCCUAUCAGCUUGUUGGUGGGGUAAUGGCCUACCAAGGCGGCGACGGGUAGCCGGCCUGAGAGGGUGGACGGCCACAUUGGGACUGAGAUACGGCCCAGACUCCUACGGGAGGCAGCAGUGGGGAAUAUUGCACAAUGGGCGCAAGCCUGAUGCAGCGACGCCGCGUGGGGGAUGACGGCCUUCGGGUUGUAAACUCCUUUUGCUAGGGACGAAGCUUUUUGUGACGGUACCUAGAUAAGAAGCACCGGCUAACUACGUG